CCUGAGAAACGGCUACCACAUCCAAGGAAGGCAGCAGGCGCGCAAAUUACCCAAUCCCAACACGGGGAGGUAGUGACAAUAAAUAACAAUACGGGGCUCUUUCGGGUCUCGUAAUUGGAAUGAGUACAAUUUAAAUCCCUUAACGAGGAACAAUUGGAGGGCAAGUCUGGUGCCAGCAGCCGCGGUAAUUCCAGCUCCAAUAGCGUAUAUUAAAGUUGUUGCAGUUAAAAAGCUCGUAGUUGAAUUUCGGGAUUGACACAUCGGUCGUGCCUUAAGGGGUAUGAACUGGUGUAGUCAAUUUCUCACCUUCUGGAGUCCGAACCGUGAUGCCCUGCCUUAAUUGGGUGUCACGGGGAACCAGGACCUUUACUUUGAAAAAAUUAGAGUGUUUAAAGCAGGCAUUUUGCUUGGCGAAUACAUUAGCAUGGAAUAAUAAAAUAGGACGGCAUGAUUCUAUUUUGUUGGUUUCUAGGAUCACCGUAAUGAGUUAAUAGGGAUAGUUGGGGGCACAGUUAGUAUUCAAUUGUCAGAGGUGAAAUUCUUGGAUUUAUUGAAGACUAACUACUGCGAAAGCAUU
rnacentral:rRNA from 1 species